rnacentral:rRNA from 1 species
UUGACCUCGAAUCAGGUAGGGAUACCCGCUGAACUUAAGCAUAUCAAUAAGCGGAAGGA